rnacentral:rRNA from 1 species
GACGAACGCUGGCGGCGUGCUUAACACAUGCAAGUCGAACGGAAAGGCCCUGCUUUUGUGGGGUGCUCGAGUGGCGAACGGGUGAGUAACACGUGAGUAACCUGCCCUUAACUUUGGGAUAAUUUCAGGAAACUGGGGCUAAUACCGGAUAGGAGCUCCUGCUGCAUGGUGGGGGUUGGAAAGUUUCGGCGGUUGGGGAUGGACUCGCGGCUUAUCAGCUUGUUGGUGGGGUAGUGGCUUACCAAGGCUUUGACGGGUAGCCGGCCUGAGAGGGUGACCGGCCACAUUGGGACUGAGAUACGGCCCAGACUCCUACGGGAGGCAGCAGUGGGGAAUAUUGCACAAUGGGCGGAAGCCUGAUGCAGCAACGCCGCGUGCGGGAUGACGGCCUUCGGGUUGUAAACCGCUUUCGCCUGUGACGAAGCGUGAGUGACGGUAAUGGGUAAAGAAGCACCGGCUAACUACGUG